rnacentral:rRNA from 1 species
GAUGAACGCUGGCGGCGUGCCUAAUACAUGCAAGUCGAGCGAACGGACGAGAAGCUUGCUUCUCUGAUGUUAGCGGCGGACGGGUGAGUAACACGUGGAUAACCUACCUAUAAGACUGGGAUAACUUCGGGAAACCGGAGCUAAUACCGGAUAAUAUUUUGAACCGCAUGGUUCAAAAGUGAAAGACGGUCUUGCUGUCACUUAUAGAUGGAUCCGCGCUGCAUUAGCUAGUUGGUAAGGUAACGGCUUACCAAGGCAACGAUGCAUAGCCGACCUGAGAGGGUGAUCGGCCACACUGGAACUGAGACACGGUCCAGACGCCUAAGGGAGGCAGCAGUAGGGAAUCUUCCGCAAUGGGCGAAAGCCUGACGGAGCAACGCCGCGUGAGUGAUGAAGGUCUUCGGAGCGUAAAACUCUGUUAUUAGGGAAGAACAUAUGUGUAAGUAACUGUGCACAGCUUGACGGUAACUAAUCAGAAAGCCACGGCUAACUACGUG